rnacentral:lncRNA from 1 species
AAAAAAAGCAGCAACUGAUACAGUAAAAAGUAUAAAAAAGAUAAGAAAGGACUAAGGGGAAACCAUAAGAAUAAUAAAUUACAGAGCUAGGCUGAUAUACUAUUGGUAGCAUGAAGGUCUCCGUACUACCAAAUUGUUUUUAAUGAUGCGGCUUUCAAAUCGACGAUCGGCUCUGUUAGACUUGAUCUACACUAUUGAAAGUAUUUGAAAACUAAAUUCAUAAUUUUUCGAUAUCAUUUGGCUAGUGAUCUAAAGAUCUCAAAAUUGAUAAUUUUAAUGGUAGAUGUGAUACAUUUGUGAAUUUAACGGUGUAAAAUAAUUCAAAUCUGAUGAAAUUUUUAUAAAAAAAUCUUUUCACUAUUUAGAGUAAGAUCAAUACUUCUGAUCUUAAAUUCAAGUCUUUUAUCAUCAAUUUUUAUAAGAUUUUGCGUCAAGCUUUUUUUUCCCUCUUAGACCAAUGAAGGCUUCCUUUUUAGACCAAUGAAGGCUCUAGAGAGAAAAAUGAGAGGAGCGGCAAGCAACGAGAGAGGAGAGGCUGAGAAAGGGUGUCAGGUGGAGUUAAUAAGCAAACUUCUUCUUAAUGAGGGAAGAGAGAGAGGGAAGAAGAAGAAGGUAGUGAAACGGAUUGCUUGGGCGGAUGAGGUAGGUAGAGAGUUAAUACAGGUUAGCAGAUACCAUGAUGAGCUUGAGGGGACUUUACCUGCUUUCGGCAAAAUCCAUAAUCGAGAUCAAAAGUGAGGCGUUAAUGGCGGUCAGCGUUGGGGUAUAUCUCGGGUUUCAUCAGGUGAUGGUAGGAGGGGGGGUAGGAUCAGAGGGGAAGAAGGAGUUGCCAGCG